GUCCACGCCGUAAACGAUGAGUGCUAAGUGUUGGAGGGUUUCCGCCCUUCAGUGCUGCAGCUAACGCAUUAAGCACUCCGCCUGGGGAGUACGGUCGCAAGACUGAAACUCAAAGGAAUUGACGGGGGCCCGCACAAGCGGUGGAGCAUGUGGUUUAAUUCGAAGCAACGCGAAGAACCUUACCAGGUCUUGACAUCCUUUGACCACUCUAGAGAUAGAGCUUUCCCUUCGGGGACAAAGUGACAGGUGGUGCAUGGUU
rnacentral:rRNA from 1 species